AACGAACGCUGGCGGCAUGCCUAACACAUGCAAGUCGAACGAGACCUUCGGGUCUAGUGGCGCACGGGUGCGUAACGCGUGGGAACCUGCCCUUAGGUUCGGAAUAACUCCCCGAAAGGGGUGCUAAUACCGGAUAAUGUCUCCGACCAAAGGUUUAUCGCCUUUGGAUGGGCCCGCGUUGGAUUAGCUAGUUGGUAGGGUAAAAGCCUACCAAGGCGACGAUCCAUAGCUGGUCUGAGAGGAUGAUCAGCCACACUGGGACUGAGACACGGCCCAGACUCCUACGGGAGGCAGCAGUGGGGAAUAUUGGACAAUGGGCGAAAGCCUGAUCCAGCAAUGCCGCGUGAGUGAUGAAGGCCUUAGGGUUGUAAAGCUCUUUUACCCGGGAUGAUAAUGACAGUACCGGGAGAAUAAGCUCCGGCUAACUCCGUG
rnacentral:rRNA from 1 species